rnacentral:piRNA from 4 species
GCUCAGUCGGUAGAGCAUCAGAC